CGAUGUGAACAGAGUCUUUUGAACAAAACAGACGGAUCAGCAAGCUUUAUGCAAGGAAAUACUCAAGUGAUUGCGGCAGCAUAUGGUCCCGCAGAGGUCAGAGCAAGCAAAGAACUCAUAGAUAAAGCUACCUUGGAAGUUGUUUUCAGACCCAAAGUUGGUAUGCCAGGUGAGCAG